rnacentral:pre_miRNA from 1 species
AAUGUUUGACGCCGUUAACUUUUUAGCACAUGUUUGACCGUUCGUCUUAUUCAAAAAAAUUUAAGUAAUUAUUAAUUCUUUUUCUAUCAUUUGAUUCAUUGUUAAAUAUAUUUUUAUGUAGGCAUAUAAUUUUACAUAUUUCACAAAAGUUUUUGAAUAAGACGAACGGUCAAAUAUGUGCUAAAAAAUCAACGGUGUCAAGCAUU